rnacentral:rRNA from 1 species
GACGAACGCGGCGGCGUGCCUAAUACAUGCAAGUUGAGCGCUGAAGGUUGGUACUUGUACCAACUGGAUGAGCAGCGAACGGGUGAGUAACGCGUGGGGAAUCUGCCUUUGAGCGGGGGACAACAUUUGGAAACGAAUGCUAAUACCGCAUAAAAACUUUAAACACAAGUUUUAAGUUGAAAGAUGCAAUUGCAUCACUCAAAGAUGAUCCCGCGUUGUAUUAGCUAGUUGGUGAGGUAAAGGCUCACCAAGGCGAUGAUACAUAGCCGACCUGAGAGGGUGAUCGGCCACAUUGGGAGUGAGACACGGCCCAAACUCCUACGGGAGGCAGCAGUAGGGAAUCUUCGGCAAUGGACGAAAGUCUGACCGAGCAACGCCGCGUGAGUGAAGAAGGUUUUUCGGGAUUCGUAAAAACUUCUGCUGGUAGAGAAAGAAACC